ensembl:misc_RNA Metazoa_SRP Metazoan signal recognition particle RNA
GCUGGGCCUGGUGGCACGCGCCUAUAGUCCCAGCUACUCAGGAGGCUAAGGUAGGAGGAUCGCUUGAGCCCAGGAGUUCUGGGCUAUAGUGCGCUAUGCUGAUCGGGUGUCUGUACUAAGUUCGGCAUCAAUAUGUUGACCUCAUGGGAGUGGGGGAUCACCAGGUUGCUUAAGGAGGGGUGAACCGGCCUGGGUCGGAAACACAGGUCAAAACUCCUGUGCUGAUCAGUAGUGGGAUAGCACCUGUGAAUAGCCACUGCACUCCAGCCUGGGCAACAUAUCAAGACCCCAUCUUUU